CCUACGGGGGGCAGCAGUGAGGAAUAUUGGUCAAUGGACGAGAGUCUGAACCAGCCAAGUAGCGUGAAGGAUGACUGCCCUAUGGGUUGUAAACUUCUUUUAUAUGGGAAUAAAAUGUUCCACGUGUGGGAUUUUGUAUGUACCAUAUGAAUAAGGAUCGGCUAACUCCGUGCCAGCAGCCGCGGUAAUACGGAGGAUCCGAGCGUUAUCCGGAUUUAUUGGGUUUAAAGGGAGCGUAGGUGGAUUGUUAAGUCAGUUGUGAAAGUUUGCGGCUCAACCGUAAAAUUGCAGUUGAAACUGGCAGUCUUGAGUACAGUAGAGGUGGGCGGAAUUCGUGGUGUAGCGGUGAAAUGCUUAGAUAUCACGAAGAACUCCGAUUGCGAAGGCAGUUCACUGGACUGCAACUGACACUGAGGCUCGAAAGUGUGGGUAUCAAACAGGAUGAGAUACCCGUGUAGUC
rnacentral:rRNA from 1 species